rnacentral:rRNA from 1 species
UAAUACGUAGGGCGCGAGCGUUAAUCGGAAUAAUUGGGCGUAAAGGGUGCGCAGGCGGUAAGUUAAGACGGAUGUGAAAGCCCCGGGCUCAACCUGGGAAUGGCAUACGUGACUGGCUUACUAGAAUAUGGCAGAGGGAGGUAGAAUUCCACAUGUAGCAGUGAAAUGCGUAGAUAUGUGGAGGAACACCGAUGGCGAAGGCAGCCUCCUGGGUUAAUAUUGACGCUCAGGCACGAAAGCGUGGGGAGCAAACAGGAUUAGAUACCCUGGUAGUCCACGCCCUAAACGAUGUCAACUAGUUGUUGGGGAAAACUUUCCUUAGUAACGUAGCUUACGCGUGAAGUUGACCGCCUGGGGAGUACGGUCGCAAGAUUA